UACAGAGGUCUCGAGCGUUGUUCGGAUUCAUUGGGCGUAAAGGGCGCGUAGGCGGCGGGGUAAGUCUGGUGUGAAAUCUCGGAGCUCAACUCCGAAAUUGCACUGGAUACUGCUCUGCUAGAGGGCUGGAGAGGAGAUCGGAAUUCACGGUGUAGCAGUGAAAUGCGUAGAUAUCGAGAGGAACACCUGCGGCGAAGGCGGGUUGCUGGGCCGACACUGACGCUGAUGCGCGAAAGCCAGGGGAGCGAACGGG
rnacentral:rRNA from 1 species